CUGGGCCACCUGGCCGGCCCCUCAUUAUUUCUUAAUAAGAUAAACUAUACUCACAAUGCUGAAUGCCAGAGGAAUUAAGAAUACAAUUGUCGAUACUAAACUUCCAUUGUCACGGACAAAUCUUCUUUACAGAGUUUAUAAAUACAUUUCGAAAAUCUCACUGUCAGUACUUUUUUUUUCCAACUCUUUCAAUAAAGCCUAGAGUUAAAAAAAGAAAAAAAAAAAAGGAUGGCGCCCUCCGGUGGGGGCGCGGCACAAGGAGAGCACGAAGAUGGCGUCUACCGGCCUCGUCCGCAGAGCAGGAGGCCUCCAGAUACUUGCCAGACCAGGUGCCUGCCCCUCAGGCCAAGGCUCCAAGACCAGGAAAUGAGCCUCUUUCAGUCUGGGCGCCUCUCCUGGCCGAUUCUGCACUGGGCCCGGGAGCAGGUGAGUCCACAAUGUGGUGUGACUAGAGGACAGAAGCCUGACUCCCUGCCAGGAUGGAGAUUGUUCCCAUUAGUCCUCAUGGGCAUGCUUAUGGGCUAAUAUAGCCCUCGAAAUCACCUUCUGGCAUUGAAAAUUCUGCCUUGGGGCUUCUAAAGCACUGGAAAGUCUGCAGGGACCCCUCUCCUCCAGGCCAGUUGAAUCGAUUCCCUGGAUCUUUAGAGGAAUAAGAAACGCACCCUGACAGUAAUUCCCUGCAUUGGGUACACCAGCGCUGCACUCGGCAAUUGAAUGUUACGUGUGGAUUUUAGUUUAUAUUAUUUAAAACAUACACAUCCGUACCUAUCAGAAUGUCCUUCUUUUCACUGUUAGUUGCAAAGGUGAUACGUGUUAAAGGUGACCUGUGUUAUGGCAAUGAAACCACAAAUACAGUUCAGCAUGAUGGCGUUGUGGUGUGGUGCCAGCGCACUGAUACGAGUGCCAGAAGCCUUGCUCCUUAGCUUUGUGACCUCGUGCCUGGCUGGAUUGUACAAAAACUUAAAUCCAAAUAUCAAAUUCCUCUUAUUCUUAGCAUAUUCUCUUAAGAUAUUCUUCUCUGUGGAAGCAGAAAUUUUCUCGGAGUUUUCUGGUAACAUUUUUUUUUUUUUGCAACUUCCAAUUUGACUUGAGACAAAAAUUUAUGAUCUUAUAGAAACAAAGAAACCAUCUUUAGGAAGAAUACACUUGCCCGUGGCUUCACCAAAACUUCGAAGAAAGAUACUGCCCAAGUACAAAACAUGGCCGGAGUGCCUCCUCCCUUUCCCACUGCUGGAGCUGCACAUUGGCCUCGGGGGCUGAUGUGGCUGCGGAGGCAAGAGCUCAUGUCGUCCCUCACACUCGUGAGUCCUUGGAGAGCUGGGGCUCAGCCACACACGAUGACCUACAGACGCUGGAAUACUGGCCCCAUUGUUUGUGUACACGAGUGACUCUGCACAGUCCUCUGCUAGAACUUUCUACAGUAUAUCAGAGUAAAACAAAAUAAGUAAACUGGGCGUUUCAUAUUAAAAUGGUUAGUAAGCAUUUGAGAAGUUGUGUUCAUAUACUGCUAAGUGGGAAUGAAAGGUUACAAAACAGUGUGUGCCAUACAAUUCUGUUUUUAUUUAAAAAUACACAAAGAAGAAAAGACUAGCAGGAGAUAAAGCAAAAUGUUCAUAACAGCUUUGUCUUGCGUCAUUACAAUGAUAUAAGAAUGACACAAAAAUUCUCAUUCAUUUCCUUUAUAUCCUUCCAGUGUUUCUUUAUGAAAAUAAAUGGAAAUACAA
rnacentral:lncRNA from 1 species